UACUUCUCCCGGUGAACAGUGUCAC
rnacentral:piRNA from 1 species